rnacentral:rRNA from 1 species
UGGGGAAUAUUGCACAAUGGGCGAAAGCCUGAUGCAGCAACGCCGCGUGAGUGAUGAAGGUCUUCGGAUUGUAAAGCUCUGUCUUUUGGGACGAUAAUGACGGUACCAAAGGAGGAAGCCGCGGCUAACUACGUGCCAGCAGCCGCGGUAAUACGUAGGUGGCGAGCGUUGUCCGGAUUUACUGGGCGUAAAGGGUGCGUAGGCGGAUGUUUAAGUGAGAUGUGAAAUACCCGGGCUUAACUUGGGUGCUGCAUUUCAAACUGGAUAUCUAGAGUGCAGGAGAGGAGAAUGGAAUUCCUAGUGUAGCGGUGAAAUGCGUAGAGAUUAGGAAGAACACCAGUGGCGAAGGCGAUUCUCUGGACUGUAACUGACGCUGAGGCACGAAAGCGUGGGUAGCAAACAGGAUUAGAUACCCUGGUAGUCCACGCCGUAAACGAUGAGUACUAGGUGUAGGAGGUAUCGACCCCUUCUGUGCCGCAGUAAACACAUUAAGUACUCCGCCUGGGAAGUACGAUCGCAAGAUUAAAAC